rnacentral:rRNA from 1 species
GUAGGUGGCAAGCGUUGUCCGGGAAUUAUUGGGGCGUAAAGCGCGCGCAGGCGGUUCUUUAAGUCUGAUGUGAAAGCCCACGGGCUCAACCGUGGAGGGUCAUUGGAAACUGGAGAACUUGAGUACAGAAGAGGAAAGCGGAAUUCCACGUGUAGCGGUGAAAUGCGUAGAGAUGUGGAGGAACACCAGUGGCGAAGGCGGCUUUCUGGUCUGUAACUGACGCUGAGGCGCGAAAGCGUGGGGAGCAAACAGGAUUAGAUACCCUGGUAGUCCACGCCGUAAACGAUGAGCGCUAAGUGUUAGGGGGUUUCCGCCCCUUAGUGCUGCAGCUAACGCAUUAAGCACUCCGCCUGGGGAGUACGGCCGCAAAGGCUG